rnacentral:rRNA from 1 species
GACGAACGCUGGCGGCGUGCUUAACACAUGCAAGUCGAACGGAAAGGCCUCAGCUUGCUGGGGUACUCGAGUGGCGAACGGGUGAGUAACACGUGGGUGAUCUGCCUUGCACUCUGGGAUAAGCUUGGGAAACUGGGUCUAAUACCGGAUAUGAACUGCCUUUAGUGUGGUGGUUGGAAAGUUUUUUCGGUGCAAGAUGAGCUCGCGGCCUAUCAGCUUGUUGGUGGGGUAAUGGCCUACCAAGGCGUCGACGGGUAGCCGGCCUGAGAGGGUGUACGGCCACAUUGGGACUGAGAUACGGCCCAGACUCCUACGGGAGGCAGCAGUGGGGAAUAUUGCACAAUGGGCGGAAGCCUGAUGCAGCGACGCCGCGUGGGGGAUGACGGCCUUCGGGUUGUAAACUCCUUUCGACAGGGACGAAGCUAUUUGUGACGGUACCUGUAUAAGAAGCACCGGCUAACUACGUG